rnacentral:rRNA from 1 species
CCUACGGGAGGCAGCAGUAAGGAAUAUUGGUCAAUGGAGGCAACUCUGAACCAGCCAUGCCGCGUGCAGGAUGAAGGCCCUAUGGGUCGUAAACUGCUUUUACACAAGAGAAAACCCCGGUACGUGUACCGGGUUGAUAGUAUUGUGAGAAUAAGCAUCGGCUAACUUCGUGCCAGCAGCCGCGGUAAGACGAAGGAUGCAAGCGUUAUCCGGAUUCAUUGGGUUUAAAGGGUGCGUAGGCGGACUUGUAAGUCAGUGGUGAAAUCUCUUUGCUUAACAAAGAAACUGCCAUUGAUACUGCAGGUCUAGAGUAUAGAUGACGUUGGCGGAAUAUGACAUGUAGUGGUGAAAUACUUAGAUAUGUCAUAGAACACCGAUUGCGAAGGCAGCUAACGAAACUAUAACUGACGCUGAGGCACGAAAGUGCGGGGAGUACAACAGAUAGUAUACCUACGUAGUCGCACCGUAACCGAUAGAUUACUUCGUUGUUGGUGAUAUGUACCGUCGA